rnacentral:rRNA from 1 species
GACGAACGCUGGCGGCGUGCUUAACACAUGCAAGUCGAACGGAAAGGCCCUGCUUUUGUGGGGUGCUCGAUUGGCGAACGGGUGAGUAACACGUGAGUAACCUGCCCUUGACUUUGGGAUAACUUCAGGAAACUGGGGCUAAUACCGGAUAGGAGCUCCUGCUGCAUGGGGGGGGUUGGAAAGUUUCGGCGGUUGGGGAUGGACUCGCGGCUUAUCAGCUUGUUGGUGGGGUAGUGGCUUACCAAGGCUUUGACGGGUAGCCGGCCUGAGAGGGUGACCGGCCACAUUAGGACUGAGAUACGGACCAGACUCCUACGGGAGGCAGCAGUGGGGAAUAUUGCACAAUGGGCGGAAGCCUGAUGCAGAAACGCCGCGUGCGGGAUGACGGCCUUCGGGUUGUAAACCGCUUUCGCCUGUGACGAAGCGUGAGUGACGGUAAUGGGUAAAGAAGCACCGGCUAACUACGUG